GGCCCCAUCGUCUAGCGGUUAGGACUCCGGGUUUUCAUCCCGGCAACUGGGGUUCGAUUCCCCAUGGGGUCA
rnacentral:tRNA from 1 species